CCAAGUAAGCGGGUAGCCGCUCUGCGUUAACGCAGGGAGGAAAGUCCGGGCGCCAAAUCCGCCUUAGGCGGAGGAAAGAGGCAGUGGGUAAUGCCCACCGUUCGCAAGAAUAGGGAAAGUGCCACAGAGACAAUACUUCUCCAUUUUAGGGGCAAUCUCCUAAAAAGGGGUAAAGGUGAAAAGUGAGGGAUUAAGACCCCUCUCGUCUAGUGGAAACACUAUGAUGCGGUAAACCCUGUCUGGCGCAAGAGCAAACUCGGUCGCUUUAUUUGACCGAAGAAAAGUAGCUCGCUUGACCCGUUAGGCGACUAACGAGGCAGAUAGAUGGCUACCUCCGCCAACUGGCGGAACAGAACCCGGCUUAUAGCUUGCUUGGGCUU
rnacentral:RNase_P_RNA from 1 species